UACGUAGGGUGCGAGCGUUAAUCGGAAUUACUGGGCGUAAAGUGUGCGCAGGCGGCAGAGCAAGUCGAGUGUGAAAGCCCCGGGCUUAACUUGGGAAUUGCGCUCGAAACUACUUUGCUGGAGUGUGGCAGAGGAAGGUGGAAUUCCACGUGUAGCGGUGAAAUGCGUAGAGAUGUGGAGGAACACCAAUGGCGAAGGCAGCCUUCUGGGCCAACACUGACGCUCAUGCACGAAAGCGUGGGUAGCAAACAGG
rnacentral:rRNA from 1 species